rnacentral:rRNA from 1 species
UACGUAGGGGGCAAGCGUUGUCCGGAUUUACUGGGCGUAAAGAGCUCGUAGGCGGCCAGUUAGGUCCGUUGUGAAAACUGGAGGCUUAACCUCCAGACGUCGACGGAAACGGCGUGGCUAGAGUCCGGAAGAGGAGAGUGGAAUUCCUGGUGUAGCGGUGAAAUGCGCAGAUAUCAGGAAGAACACCAAUGGCGAAGGCAGCUCUCUGGGACGGUACUGACGCUGAGACGCGAAAGCGUGGGGAGCGAACAGG